UACGAAGGGGGGCUAGCGUUGUUCGGAAUUACUGGGCGUAAAGGGCGCGUAGGCGGUGUGUCAAGUCAGGCGUGAAAGCCCCGGGCUCAACCUGGGAACCGCGCUUGAGACUGGCACGCUCGAGUUCGGGAGAGGAUGGUGGAAUUCCCAGUGUAGAGGUGAAAUUCGUAGAUAUUGGGAAGAACACCGAUGGCGAAGGCAGCCAUCUGGACCGACACUGACGCUGAGGCGCGAAAGCGUGGGGAGCAAACAGG
rnacentral:rRNA from 1 species